rnacentral:rRNA from 1 species
UACGUAGGGUGCAAGCGUUAAUCGGAAUUACUGGGCGUAAAGCGUGCGCAGGUGGCUCUGCAAGACAGAUGUGAAAUCCCCGGGCUUAACCUGGGAACUGCAUUUGUGACUGCAUGGCUAGAGUGUGGCAGAGGGGGAUGGAAUUCCGCGUGUAGCAGUGAAAUGCGUAGAGAUCAGGAGGAACACCCGUGGCGAAGGCGGCCCUCUGGCUCGACCCUGACGCUGAGGCGCGAAAGCGUGGGGAGCGAACGGG